AGGACGAACGCUGGCGGCGUGCUUAACACAUGCAAGUCGAGCGGAAAGGCCCUUCGGGGUACUCGAGCGGCGAACGGGUGAGUAACACGUGAGUAAUCUGCCCUUAGCUCUGGGAUAGCUCCGGGAAACCGGGAUUAAUACCAGAUACGACCACUCUAGACAUCUUCUGUGGUGGAAAGAAUUUCGGCUGGGGAUGAACUCGCGGCCUAUCAGCUUGUUGGUGAGGUACGGCUCACCAAGCGACGACGGGUA
rnacentral:rRNA from 1 species